rnacentral:rRNA from 1 species
UACGUAGGGUGCGAGCGUUGCCCGGAUUUAUUGGGCGUAAAGGGCGCGUAGGCGGCCACGCACGUCCGUUGUGAAAUCGCCCGGCUCAACUGGGCGGGGUCGGCGGAUACGGCGUGGCUGGAGCAAGCUAGGGGGCAAUGGAAUUCCCGGUGUAGUGGUGGAAUGCGUAGAUAUCGGGAGGAACGACCAGUGGCGAAGGCGGUUGCCUGGAGCUUUGCGUGACGCUGAGGCGCGAAAGCGUGGGGAGCGAGUCCGG